rnacentral:rRNA from 1 species
UUGGAGGGCAAGUCUGGUGCCAGCAGCCGCGGUAAUUCCAGCUCCAAUAGCGUAUAUUAAAGUUGUUGCAGUUAAAAAGCUCGUAGUUGAAUUUCGGAGUUUGUCGGUUGGUCGGGCUUCAUUGUCCGCACUGGCCUGAUGGAUUCCUACCUUCUGAAUAACCAGCAUGCUAUUAAGUUAGUGCGUUGGGGAAGCAGAGCUAUUACCUUGAAAAAAUUAGAGUGCUUAAAGCAGGCUUAUGCUUGAAUAGAUUAGCAUGGAAUAAUAAAAUAGGACGGCAUGGUUCUAUUUUGUUGGUUCCUAGGAUCACCGUAAUGAUUAAUAGGGAUAGUUGGGGGCAUUAGUAUUCAAUUGUCAGAGGUGAAAUUCUUGGAUUUAUUGAAGACUAACUUCUGCGAAAGCAUUUGCCAAGGAUGUUUUCAUUAAUCAAGAACGAAAGUUAGGGGAUCGAAGACGAUCAGAUACCGUCGUAGUCUUAACCAUAAACUAUGCCGACUAGGGAUCGGACGAUGUUAAUUUUUUAAUGACUCGUUCGGCGCCUUACGGGAAAC